ensembl:snoRNA small nucleolar RNA SNORA13
UGCCUUUGUGUUGCCGUUUCAUUGCAUUUGUCAUGGAAAAGGUGUCAACUGAGGCAUACAGUGAUUCUUGUAGUUGUUUCAGAAAUGAAUCCUCCUUGAUCCAUUUCUUUUACAGUCAAUUGCAAGGACAGUU